ACUUUGGUGAAUGUGGAUACUGACGAUCUCCCCUUCUGAGGUUUCCUUCCUCGCAUUUUAACGGGAUUUUGGAUAAUUCAGGAUGGACAGCCUAUGCCGAAAGAAUGUUAAUGAAGAGUGUCCGCCAGGGUAAAAUUAUGGUGAGUAAGCAAAGAAAUUCUGUUUGUUUUACCAUUGGUUACAGUUACAAGAGCAGUUCGAGUUGCACGAGCCUAGGCGAAGCGGAGGAAAAAAAAUCCAAUGGAAACUGCCGGGAACAAAUCAUUGUAGAUGAGGGGAUUUCCACGGUUUUCCCACGGCGGGCGGAAUUCGCAAUGGAAAGUAGGUCGAGGAGGAUUUUUUCCCCCCUUCAAAUAAGACAUUUAUAUUAGGGCUCUUGGGCGGCGAUCAUGCGUGGGAGCCGUCUCCGACGCCCGGUCCCACACUACCUGACAAGAGAAGUCUCUCAUAGCGCAGAACUUUCUCACUCCUCCGCCUCUCCCACCGUCGGCAUACUUUCUUCCUUCUCCUCUUUGCAGAUUUCAUUCCGACGGUUUGUACACUGAGGAUAGCCCUUCUUAAAAAUACACCUCAUAGUUUUAUUUUAAAAUAGAGAGAGAAAAAAGAGUGUGAGGGAAAGAAAGCGCCUGAGAGGGGGAGAAAAAGAGAAGCGUGAGAGACCGAGAAGCUUACAGAAGACUUCAAGGUAAAACACUCAUGUCACAGACAUAAUUUAUUAGUAAUUAUACCAAAUCAGUAUAACUACUACUUGCUUGCUUGCUUGGUAUCUGGUUUCUGGCCAGAUAGAGAAAGAAGUAGACUUGCCAAGC